CGGGCGGCGGGGCUCUCGAGGCAGCGCGGGGGGGGGGCGGGGUGUGCGGCAACCCCUUUUCUCUCCACGCGCUUCUCCAUAGGACGUGGACGGGGCUGCUAGCAAGAGCUUAGCCUUACUAAAUAGUCAAGGUGUGUUGGACCAGGACCUGGGUUCGAAUUCCGCACUCGGCCAUUAUGCUCACCUGGGGUGGCCCUAGCGGGGCCGGACGCUACCUCUCUCAGCCCAGCCUAAACUACCUCGCAGGGUUGUCGUGGGGAUUGGGUGAGAAGGGGAAGAGCCAUGCAUGCCACUUCGAAUUCCUUGUUGGAGAAAAGGGGUAUAAAUGCAGUAAAUUAAUAUUAUCGCCUCCCCCCCCCCGCGCUGCCAAAAUAGUCUUUUCUUCAUUGCAUUACUCCUACAGUUAACAGUACACGGAAGUUUACUUCACAGGGGUGACCAUUUGGACUUUCAGCAAGACUGCCUUGCCUCUGGUAGAUUGAUUAGUGGCAGCAUGUAGAUCUUCUGCUCUUGUGGGUAAGAAUGUAAAAAGAUUGGGCCCAAUGGGCCAUCUCCCAUCUGGUCCAACAUCCUGUUCUCGCAGUGGCCAGCAAGAUGCCUGUGGGAAACCUGCAAACAAGACCUGAGCACAGGAGCGCUCCUAUGGUUUCCAGCAGCUGGGACUCAGAAGCAUUACUGCCUGGGAUGGUGAAGUAGUGGAACCAUCUCCAAGAUAAAAGCUAUUUGCAUUUGGACAAGUUGACUACCAUUUUGGAAGUGCUGCGUUUUCCCCCCCUUGAGGUACUGAUGGACCAAAAGCAGUACAGAACAAGGAUUCUCAUAGGUAAGUGCUGUUGGAAGAGCAGUGCUCAGGUUCUGCAGAGGAAAGAGUUGUCAAAAUUCCGUUUUGUUCUCGUGUGUCAUUCUGGUUUGUGUAAAGUCACUUCAUUAAAAUCAGAUGUUCUAUCCUA